ACCCACCUCCACACGAAAAAAAAAACAAACCCCGAAACCAUCCCCAAAUCGUGCGUGCGUGCAGUUAGGGUGGCGAGCUGCUGCAGUACGAAUUGCGGCGAGCCUAGGCGGCGCCAGCGGCAGCUCGGGAAGGAUUGGUCAGUGGCAACUGAGAGGAGCGGCGCGCGAGAGAAGAUGCGUGGCGGCGACGGGCGACGCGGCGGGCCGGCUCGACCCUAGGCGGCACCGACGGUUGCAGCCGAGGCGGUGGCUUCAACGACGACGGCUGGGGCCUGAGCGAGGAGAAGCUCGACAAGCUCGAGCGGGAGGCCUAGCGCGAGCUCGCCGAGCGCAAGGCCUCCUCCUCCAGCGCCUCGACCUCUCCCGCGACUUCACCGCUGCGGCCGGCGGCGACGUGUGAGUGGCCUCGGCGAGCGGACGCUGUCGUACUCGGCGGGGCUUGCUCCGAUGUCGCUGGAGUUAUCAAAUCGUGCUUGCGGUUCGGGUGGAGUUGGCGAGAGGCGAGCCUAGGCGACGGUGGCCGCCUCGACGACGACUGGGGCCACCGCGUGCUCGGUGAGGGCGAGGCGGCUCACCCGGCGCGACCGUCCAGGGCGAGGAACCCCGACAUCGACCGGAGGCGACAACGCUUGCGUCUCUCUCUCUCCGGCGAAGAGCUCGGCGUCUCUCCUCCGGCGAAGCGCAUCCCAGCGACGGAAAGGCGGAUCCCGCCUCUGCCUCCACUUCUCCCCGGUUGGCGGCGCCCCUUGGCUCCGCACGACGUGAUCGUCCAGGGCCAGGCGCUUCGCCGAUGACGCGCACACGCUCGUCUCUGACGCCUCCUCACCGGCAGCUCCUCCUCCGGCCGCGUCGGUGACCUCGCUGCCACCGUGGCCACCGACAUCGGCCAAUCCCGUCGCACUUGCCACUACUUCCGCAGACUCCGCCCUGUAAGUCGAUGCUGCCGCCCAAUGCAAAAUGCAUGAACCGAUGGACUCUGUAUGCUCGUGUUUUGCCUUGUCUUGGGAUUAAAUUUUUUGAUGCGAUCACAUAUGGAGUAGUUAAUUGCAUCAGCCAUGAGAAAUAUCAUGUUGGAUCAAGUUGACUUGCACCUGUUCGAUCGAAUGCUCGUGAGAAUGUUUUUUUUUUGGUAUACUGCAGAUUUGUUCUUUACUUACUUCUCUGGAAGCUUGAAACACUGACCAAUUUUACAAGAUUUUAUUGUCUGGUCUGAAGAAGUAUUCGAUGGAAUGGUUGGUAUGCUUGCUGACCCCAAGGAAGUAUAUCCAACAUCAUUUAUGUUUGUGAUAUACAGCUAUUUCCCUUUUUCCUUUCUUUUCGUAUUUGGUUUCUUCGAUAAAAGGCUCCUGCUGGAAUUCAAGAGGUUCAUUUUCUGCUGUUCAAUCCAACUGAAAAAAGCUAAUGCAGAUUUUCAUGAGGUGCAGAUUUUCAGUAAUGCAGAAAAUGUCUAUUGUUUCGGUAGUGUAGAAAGUAGUUGUUGUUGAGUUCAAACUAUAAAAAAUUGUAACUACACACACAUGGCCGGAACAUGUGUGUAAUAUAUGGCCUUCUAGUUCAAAUCAUGGCCGGAACAUGACAAACUCAGCUGUAAUAUAUGUGCGUUUUGUGCAAUAUUGUAAGGACCUAUGUUCAGUUCCUCUGAUAUUCAACCUGCAAUGCAUAGGUGGCCUUCUAGUUAUCAUGGUGGUGGUAAUGUGUACUAAAGUCUAAAGCUGACAAGAUUUGUGACCUGAAAACUUAUGCAAUCUUAGUUGUUGCAUAAUUCAAUCUGGUAAGUUAGGAGAAAUCGGAUUGUUGUGCCCAUGAAUGUUAUCAGUUUGAUUUUGCUGUUGUGGCUGACCAUUAUUUUUAACUAAUCUGUUUCAAGAACAUGCUGGUGCUAUUGUCAAGAAGAGUUGUUUAUAAAUAGCACGUAAGGUAGUACUUCUGUUGGCAGGGCUUGCUCCGAUUUUGUUUCAGGGUCAGUGCUGGCGACGCGAGAGAGGGCGAGGUGGUCCAAGCUCGAUGGUGUGAAGGGCAGGAAUGAUGCUGGAUUUGGAAGAACAAUGGUGGAUGCUGAGGUCGACGCAGACGCCAGCCCACAACUCGCGUCGUUGGGCUAAUCGGCGACCUCGGCGCCCAGUCCUACUUCGUUGGCCGGCUCCUCCCCACUGUUGUGAUAUUCCCCUCGCCAGCAGCUCGUGUGGAAUUAGCCGCCGCAGUGUGACGAUCGCCGGUAAACCAGCUCAGAGCUGAGACUACUCUAUUCUUGAAAUUAAGAGAGCUACAGAGACAUAAACUUCCACUGAUUUUACUUGUGAGCAUGUUGUAAGGUUAGAGGUUGGACAAAAGUACUUUGUGUAUGGUUCAAGAUUCAAAGCCCACUGGACUAUCAGAUCUGAGUUUGACUAAAUAUAUAUUUUAGCCUUAGACUCUUUGUUUGGUGAAACGAGACAUGCUUAGAGUCUAAGAUAUGAUUGCCGUUAAUGAUGAUGAUAUAAUCCGAAACCUAAUGUCUUGUUGUUUCGACAAGUCUCGUGACAGAUACUCAAGCAAGAAUGUGCAAAUACUAACUUAUAGGAUAUUGGGCAAUUUUGCAGGCAGUCAUUGUUCAAAUGGAGAGAAGUGUUGCCGAAGGAGGAAUGAUGAGUCUGAAAGGACUUGCAUAGUUACAAUCAUGUGUAUAUCUUUUGUCUUCUGCUGUUGUAGUGCUUGAGCAGUUCAGUGAGGCAUGCGUUUUACUUGUACUCGUUGCUGCUGUGAAAAAAAUAUUGUCUCACUCCAUUAUGCUCCCGGAUUGCUCAAUUUGAUCUCUAUAGUGAUGCUUGAAAUAUUUUGUUUGCCAC